rnacentral:lncRNA from 1 species
UAAAUGUGUGUGUGUGUGGGUCCAACUAAAUUAUUCAUAUAUGCUUAAAAGUCCAAAAUAAUACGUGUUUAAUCAAGUUGACAACGCUUUAUAUUUUUUUUUUUGUGAUCACUAAGUUUAAAUGGAAAAGAGUAAUACACAUGUGGUGGUGGUGGUGGUGGUGGUGGUGAUGGGUGGAGUUUAGUUCGUAAAAUUAACUCAAUCAACUCAAAUCAUUUCGAGCUCUGAUGUGGCUCUUAUUGUCGUAAUUUUAAAAAAUAAAAUAGGUACUUUGACCAAAAAAUAAAAAAUAAAAUAGGUACAUAGCAGCAGUGCUACAAAAAAAAAAGGUACAUAGCAGCAAUAAACAAACGAAAGAUAUUGACUGUUAAUAAUGCUGCAUAUGGUUAAAGUAUAGUCGAUAAUUAAAGAAUUAAAAAUAGAAACGAUAAAGUGAAGGUGUAGGCUGGAGAUUCCAUUAUUAUAAGGUUUCUUUAGGUCUCUUUGGAAAUUGCAAGUCCCAAGGCCAACUAAUAAUGACCUCGAUCUCUGCGCUAACCGGACCGCCCAUCUACUCUUCCUUUAUUAUAUUUGAUCUUAGUAGUAGUUGUUAAUACGUUUACACUUGUUCAAUCACCAAUCCUAUAAACAAAAGGAUUUGUGUUAGGGAAAACCAAACAAUUUGUUGCGU